CGCCGGACUCGUCCAGCCAACCGAAGGACUGGCGCUGCUGCGGCCGGCGCGCGGCAUGUACCAGGACGCGCACCUGUUCGACACGACCGUCCGCGGC
rnacentral:tRNA from 1 species